AGACACUUCUAACCUUCUGAAGUGAGGUGUUACUCUAUAUGGAUAGACACCUGAAGUCUUCUGAUGUGGUCUAAAAGCAGCUGCAUCUGGGCUAGAGCCCAGCAGGCUUUUGCAGGUCUAAGAGGCAGAGAUGUCACCUGGCCUCAGGUGGCUUUAUUCCUAAAGUGCUGGGCUGUGCUGAUGUUGAAGCCUCUUGCUCCCAAGACCUACUUCUGGACUAAACUGCUGCAUCAGGAUUAAUCACCUGCCUAAAAAUGAUCUGUGGUGAUAUUCUGUUCUCUCCAAGAUGGCAAUUGGUUUUCAGCUGCUUAUUUCUGCCCACUGAGUUGGCAGCACCACACAACACACCGCUCCAGCUGUUGAGUACAAGUGUGAGAUUUAGUUCCUAAAAUGCUCUGCAGUUCUGGCACAUCUCAUCAGAGACAGGACCCUGGCUUUAGAAGGAAUGCCACCUGGGCCACUGCAGCCACCCCCUGAUGUUCCUAUGGGAUGAAACACAGGCACUUGUUAAAAAGAGGAAAAUUACCUUAGAAGGCUGGAACAGGAAAGAUAGAAGAACAAGGAGCAAUCCAGCACUCUUGUAGGUAGAAAAGCAAUGUCAUGAACUUUUCCCUUGGAAACACAGGUGAAACACUUUCUCUUGAAAUAUCUCUCACACAAUGAAGUACAAAAGGCUGCACAAUAGAAAGCAGAAAAAGGCCAAACCCAGGGCUUGAUGUGCUCUGCCCAAUAAAGAAGGAAGACUGCAGUCAGGAGAAAGCAAAGGUAUUAGUUUUGCUUGAAAUAACCAGGUUUUUGCUUGAAAAAAUAAAUGUUUAUGUGAAUUU